UUAAAAUCCUUUUUAAGGAAGCGUUUUCUUCUAAUAUCAACAAAUGUGUUCUUGUAUCAAAGGCUGAGACCAAAUAAAGCAACAUCUCCUGCACCGUCCAGCACAUCUCUGAGAAGUGACCAGUCACUGGAUCGACCGAUACUGUUCAAAGAUGAAGCACCAAGUAUGAGGCUGAAAUCAAAAGGCACAACAUCUCCAGCCCCUUCAUGCACAUCUCUGAAAAGUGACCAGUCACUGGAUCGACCGAUAUUCUUCAAAGCAAGAAUGAGACCAGAUAAAAUAACAUCUCCAGCACCUUCUUCUACAUCUCUGCAAAGUGACCAGUCACUGGAUCGACCGAUACUGUUUAACGAUGGAGCUCUGGGGAAUGAAAGGUAUGAGCAUUGAAAAUUUCUGUUGGGAUGCACAAGUUUUGGUAUAAAUUCAGUAUUCGC
rnacentral:lncRNA from 1 species